UUGGUUAAGUUAGAAAGGGCGCACGGUGGAUGCCUUGGCACUAGGAGCCGAAGAAGGACGGGACUAACACCGAUAUGCUUUGGGGAGCUGUACGUAAGCGUUGAUCCAGAGAUUUCCGAAUGGGGGAACCCACUAUCUUUAGUCGGAUAGUAUCCUUACGUGAAUACAUAGCGUGAGGAAGGCAGACCCAGGGAACUGAAACAUCUAAGUACCUGGAGGAAGAGAAAGAAAAAUCGAUUUCCUGAGUAGCGGCGAGCGAAACGGAAAGAGCCCAAACCAAGAAGCUUGCUUCUUGGGGUUGUAGGACACUCUAUACGGAGUUACAAAAGAAAGUUAUAAAUGAAGCGGUCUGGAAAGGCCCGCCAAAGACGGUAACAGCCCGGUAGUUGAAAUAGCUUUCCCUCCAGAGUGGAUCCUGAGUACGGCGGAACACGUGAAAUUCCGUCGGAAUCCGGGAGGACCAUCUCCCAAGGCUAAAUACUCCCUAGUGACCGAUAGUGAACCAGUACCGUGAGGGAAAGGUGAAAAGCACCCCGGAAGGGGAGUGAAACAGUUCCUGAAACCGUGUGCCUACAAGUAGUUAGAGCCCGUUAAUGGGUGAUAGCGUGCCUUUUGUAGAAUGAACCGGCGAGUUACGAUUUGUUGCAAGGUUAAGCGGAAAAAGCGGAGCCGUAGCGAAAGCGAGUCUGAAUAGGGCGCAUAAGUAACAGGUCGUAGACCCGAAACCAGGUGAUCUACCCAUGUCCAGGAUGAAGGUAAGGUAAUACUUACUGGAGGUCCGAACCCACGCACGUUGAAAAGUGCGGGGAUGAGGUGUGGGUAGCGGAGAAAUUCCAAUCGAACUUGGAGAUAGCUGGUUCUCUCCGAAAUAGCUUUAGGGCUAGCCUCGAGGUAAAGAGUCAUGGAGGUAGAGCACUGUUUGGACUAGGGGCCCUUCUCGGGUUACCGAAUUCAGAUAAACUCCGAAUGCCAUGUACUUAUACUCGGGAGUCAGACUGCGAGUGAUAAGAUCCGUAGUCGAAAGGGAAACAGCCCAGACCACCAGUUAAGGUCCCCAAAUAUAUGUUAAGUGGAAAAGGAUGUGGGGUUGCUUAGACAACCAGGAUGUUGGCUUAGAAGCAGCCACCAUUGAAAGAGUGCGUAAUAGCUCACUGGUCGAGUGACCCCGCGCCGAAAAUGUACCGGGGCUAAACAUAUUACCGAAACUGUGGAUGAACCUCUUUAGAGGUUCGUGGUAGGAGAGCGUUCUAAGGGCGGUGAAGUCAGACCGGAAGGACUGGUGGAGCGCUUAGAAGUGAGAAUGCCGGUAUGAGUAGCGAAAGAAGGGUGAGAAUCCCUUCCACCGAAUAUCUAAGGUUUCCUGAGGAAGGCUCGUCCGCUCAGGGUUAGUCGGGACCUAAGCCGAGGCCGAUAGGCGUAGGCGAUGGACAACAGGUAGAGAUUCCUGUACCAGUGCUAAUUGUUUAACCGAUGGGGUGACACAGAAGGAUAGGGAAUCGCACGAAUGGAAAUGUGCGUCCAAGCAGUGAGUGUGAGAAGUAGGCAAAUCCGCUUCUCGCGAAGCAUGAGCUGUGAUGGGGAAGGAAAUUAAGUACGGAAGUUCCUGAUUUCACGCUGUCAAGAAAAGCCUCUAGGAAGAGUAGUACUGCCCGUACCGCAAACCGACACAGGUAGAUGAGGAGAGAAUCCUAAGGUGAGCGAGAGAACUCUCGUUAAGGAACUCGGCAAAAUGACCCCGUAACUUCGGGAGAAGGGGUGCUCUAUUAGGGUGCAAGCCCGAGAGAGCCGCAGUGAAUAGGCCCAGGCGACUGUUUAGCAAAAACACAGGUCUCUGCAAAACCGUAAGGUGACGUAUAGGGGCUGACGCCUGCCCGGUGCUGGAAGGUUAAGAGGA
rnacentral:rRNA from 1 species